CGGCCACUUUAUCUCUCUCGCCGUCUCUCUCUCUCACAUCUCUGCAAGUUCGACGAGUCUCUCUCUCAUCACCGAUCCGGCGAUCUCUCUCUACAAGGAAGACGUGGACGACUCUCUCUCAUCACCGAUCUCUUUCUCUGCAAGGACGCCGUCGACGACAACGACGACGAUCACUCUCUCUCUGCAAGGACGAGGACCCCAACACUGACGCCGACGACGAGGAUCCGUCUCUCUCUCUCUCUCUGUGCAAGGACGUCGUCAACGACGACGAGGAGGAUCUUAAUUACAAAAACUCCGAGUCCGAUUCCGACCUUCUUCCCCGCACUCAUCCCUCCGUCGGCCCUCUUCCUCAUCGUUUUCCAGCACCGACGUCGUCGUCAUCAUCUUCGGCAUCGCCGGCGUCAUGUUCCACGUUUGUACUUUCUCUCUCUCACCUGUCAUCUUGGAUACCGGUGAAUAUUGAAAUUGCUCGGGUCGCCUUUAAGCACCAACAAUCUGGACUCUGGACCCAAGCUUCUGGAGGCUCAAAUCCAAAUCCACAUUUCGGUCUGAGUUGCAGACCAGUGAGCAGACG
rnacentral:lncRNA from 1 species